rnacentral:rRNA from 1 species
GGUUAAGUUAGAAAGGGCGCACGGUGAAUGCCUUGGCACUAGGAGCCGAUGAAGGACGGGACUAACACCGAUAUGCUUCGGGGAGCUGUAAGUGAGCUUUGAUCCGGAGAUUUCCGAAUGGGGAAACCCACUGUUCGUAAUGGAACAGUAUCUUUAUCUGAAUACAUAGGAUAUUGAAGGCAGACCCGGGGAACUGAAACAUCUAAGUACCCGGAGGAAGAGAAAGCAAAUGCGAUUUCCUGAGUAGCGGCGAGCGAAACGGAAUUAGCCCAAACCAAGAGGCUUGCCUCUUGGGGUUGUAGGACACUCUAUACGGAGUUACAAAGGAACGAAGUAAAUGAAGCGACCUGGAAAGGUCCGUCGAAGAAGGUAACAACCCUGUAGUUGAAACUUCGUUCCCUCUUGAGUGGAUCCUGAGUACGGCGGAACACGUGAAAUUCCGUCGGAAGCUGGGAGGACCAUCUCCCAAGGCUAAAUACUACCUAGUGACCGAUAGUGAACCAGUACCGUGAGGGAAAGGUGAAAAGCACCCCGGAAGGGGAGUGAAAGAGAUCCUGAAACCGUGUGCCUACAAGUAGUCAGAGCCCGUUAACGGGUGAUGGCGUGCCUUUUGUAGAAUGAACCGGCGAGUUACGAUCCCAUGCAAGGUUAAGCUGAUAAGGCGGAGCCGUAGCGAAAGCGAGUCUGAAUAGGGCGUUUAGUAUGUGGUUGUAGACCCGAAACCAGGUGAUCUACCCAUGUCCAGGGUGAAGUUCAGGUAACACUGAAUGGAGGCCCGAACCCACGCACGUUGAAAAGUGCGGGGAUGAGGUGUGGGUAGCGGAGAAAUUCCAAUCGAACCUGGAGAUAGCUGGUUCUCUCCGAAAUAGCUUUAGGGCUAGCCUCAUGUUGUGAGAGUCUUGGAGGUAGAGCACUGAUUGGACUAGGGGCCCCCAACGGGUUACCGAAUUCAGUCAAACUCCGAAUGCCAAAGACUUAUCCAUGGGAGUCAGACUGCGAGUGAUAAGAUCCGUAGUCAAAAGGGAAACAGCCCAGACCACCAGCUAAGGUCCCCAAGUAUACGUUAAGUGGAAAAGGAUGUGGAGUUGCUUAGACAACCAGGAUGUUGGCUUAGAAGCAGCCACCAUUUAAAGAGUGCGUAAUAGCUCACUGGUCGAGUGACUCUGCGCCGAAAAUGUACCGGGGCUAAACGUAUCACCGAAGCUGUGGAUUGACAUCUUAGAUGUCAGUGGUAGGAGAGCGUUCUAAGUGCUGUGAAGUCAGACCGUAAGGACUGGUGGAGCGCUUAGAAGUGAGAAUGCCGGUAUGAGUAGCGAAAGACAAGUGAGAAUCUUGUCCACCGAAUGCCUAAGGUUUCCUGAGGAAGGCUCGUCCGCUCAGGGUUAGUCGGGACCUAAGCCGAGGCUGAAAAGCGUAGGCGAUGGCCAACAGGUUGAUAUUCCUGUACCACCUCCCCGCCGUUUGAGUAAUGGGGGGACGCAGUAGGAUAGGGUAAGCGCGCUGCUGGAUAUGCGCGUUCAAGCAGUUAGGCUGAUGAGUAGGCAAAUCCGCUCAUCAUAAAGGCUGAGCUGUGAUGACGAGGGAAUUAUAGUACCGAAGUUCCUGAUUCCACACUGCCAAGAAAAGCCUCUAGCGAGGCGGGAGGUGCCCGUACCGCAAACCGACACAGGUAGGCGAGGAGAGAAUCCUAAGGUGAUCGAGAGAACUCUCGUUAAGGAACUCGGCAAAAUGACCCCGUAACUUCGGGAGAAGGGGUGCUCUGGUAGGGUGUAUAGCCCGAGAGAGCCGCAGUGAAUAGGCCCAGGCGACUGUUUAGCAAAAACACAGGUCUCUGCGAAGCCGCAAGGCGAAGUAUAGGGGCUGACGCCUGCCCGGUGCUGGAAGGUUAAGAGGAGGGGUUAUCCUUUGGGAGAAGCUCUGAAUCGAAGCCCCAGUAAACGGCGGCCGUAACUAUAACGGUCCUAAGGUAGCGAAAUUCCUUGUCGGGUAAGUUCCGACCCGCACGAAAGGCGUAACGAUCUGGGCACUGUCUCAACGAGAGACUCGGUGAAAUUAUAGUACCUGUGAAGAUGCAGGUUACCCGCGACAGGACGGAAAGACCCCGUGGAGCUUUACUGUAGCCUGAUAUUGAAUUUUGGUACAGCUUGUACAGGAUAGGUAGGAGCCUGAGAAGCCGGAGCGCUAGCUUCGGUGGAGGCGUCGGUGGGAUACUACCCUGGCUGUAUUGAAAUUCUAACCCGCGGCCCUGAUCGGGCCGGGAGACAGUGUCAGGUGGGCAGUUUGACUGGGGCGGUCGCCUCCUAAAAUGUAACGGAGGCGCCCAAAGGUUCCCUCAGAAUGGUUGGAAAUCAUUCGUAGAGUGUAAAGGCACAAGGGAGCUUGACUGCGAGACCUACAAGUCGAGCAGGGACGAAAGUCGGGCUUAGUGAUCCGGUGGUUCCGCAUGGAAGGGCCAUCGCUCAACGGAUAAAAGCUACCCCGGGGAUAACAGGCUUAUCUCCCCAAGAGUCCACAUCGACGGGGAGGUUUGGCACCUCGAUGUCGGCUCAUCGCAUCCUGGGGCUGUAGUCGGUCCCAAGGGUUGGGCUGUUCGCCCAUUAAAGCGGUACGCGAGCUGGGUUCAGAACGUCGUGAGACAGUUCGGUCCCUAUCCGUCGUGGGCGUAGGAAAUUUGAGAGGAGCUGUCCUUAGUACGAGAGGACCGGGAUGGACACACCGCUGGUGUACCAGUUGUCUUGCCAAAGGCAUCGCUGGGUAGCUAUGUGUGGACGGGAUAAGUGCUGAAAGCAUCUAAGCAUGAAGCCCCCCUCAAGAUGAGAUUUCCCAUAGCGCAAGCUAGUAAGAUCCCUGAAAGAUGAUCAGGUUGAUAGGUCAGAGGUGGAAGCGUGGCGACAUGUGUAGCUGACUGAUACUAAUCGAUCGAGGACUUAACCAA